rnacentral:lncRNA from 1 species
UGUCCAGUAUGCAUACAUUCUGUAAAAGCUCAUGUAUUAAAAUAUUUGUCUGCUUCUGUUUUUAGUACCAGACUAAACUGGAAUUGUCAGGAACUCAUCAACAUAAAGACUGGGAUCAUAUUUUUGGUUGCUUCCAGCUACCCAUCUAACCUCGCCUCUGUGUCCUCCCAGCAAGAUAAUCCCUACAGCAUUCAAGCCUGGGAUCCAGCCAUCAAUCCCAGCUAAGCAGGAUUUGUAGGCGGUGCUGCUGUGCUGUAUUUCCUCUGCUGUGCACUGAACAGAAAGGGAACCAGACCCCUGUUACCAUCAGGAGAGACAACCUAUCAGUCUUCUCAACC